CUACUUCCUGCAACCAUUUUGUGAGCGGCGCCAUUACAUUGACCUGACCCGUUAGCUGGCUAGCUAGUAUUAAAUAACAUCGUCACAUAAAAUAUAUACACGAAAAAAAGAAUAAAUAGCUAGUACGAACAACUGUCUUGAAUGCGUAGACGGGAACGUUCCGUCCAUCGCGCUUAGAUAUUGAUGUUGUUCGUCUGACUUAGUCCUUACCGUGUCUCUGGUGGUGGAAACGUAGCUGGCUCGCUAGCCAGCUAAUUUCAGAGGAGAAUAGAUAGUUUUCCAGCUACUACUAGUAGCCUUUCCUUAACAGUUAAAAAUGUCAGAGGAACAGCAGAUCGGCGAAGAUCCCGUUAUGAAGAUGGAGGAGGACAGUGAAGCCAUCGGCGAGGAACAGACGGCGACCGUUGAGAGUGGGUCGGGAGAAUCGGAGGGAUCAAAGAUUGAUGCAAGUAAAAACGAAGAGGAUGAAGGGAAGAUGUUUGUAGGAGGACUGAGCUGGGAUACGACAAAGAAGGACUUGAAAGAUUACUUCUCCAAGUUUGGGGAGGUUGUGGAUUGCACGCUUAAACUGGAUCCCAUGACUGGGCGGUCCAGAGGCUUCGGCUUCGUGUUGUUCAAAGACGCUGAGAGUGUCGACAAGGUCAUUUUACAAAAGGAACACAAACUGAAUGGGAAAGUAAUCGACCCUAAAAAGGCCAAGGCCAUGAAAACAAAGGAACCUGUUAAGAAGAUCUUCGUAGGAGGCCUUUCCCCAGACACCCCUGAAGAGAAAAUCAGAGAAUACUUUGGUGGCUUUGGAGAGGUGGAGUCCAUUGAGCUGCCCAUGGAGAACAAGACAAACAAAAGGCGUGGCUUCUGUUUCAUCACCUUCAAAGAUGAAGAGCCUGUAAAGAAGAUCAUGGAGAAGAAGUACCACAACAUUGGACUGAGCAAGUGUGAAAUCAAGGUGGCCAUGUCGAAGGAACAGUACCAGCAGCAGCAGUGGGGUGGCCGAGGUGGUUACUCCUCCAGGUCUCGGGGGAGAGGCGGACCAAACCAAAAUUGGAACCAGGGAUAUGGCAAUUACUGGAACCAAGGGUAUGGUAAUUAUGGUAACUACGGCUACAACAACCAAGGUUACGGAGGAUACGGUGGCUACGAUUACUCCGGCUAUAACAACUACUACGGAUAUGGUGACUACAGCAAUCAGCAGAGUGGUUAUGGCAAAUCCCCAAGGCGAGGUGGUCACCAAAACAGUUACAAGCCAUACUAAUAUAGUAUCCCCACUAAGUACAAGCAGCGGCAACUUCCUUGCAGGCCAUGAGUCGAGCUGGCUUCCCGAUUCUCUCAGGCCCGCUCAAUGCGGACAGGGUACGAGAGGCGUACGCUCUCGAAUGCUGCCAUUUGGCAGUGGGGCAGGAUUGAGCGCCGGAUAGAUCGGAAGGAGAUGCUUUAUAUCGUAAUCACAAGCCACAGUCGUUUGGUCAAGAUAGUCGUUUUGUAUGGAUUGAUAAAGGCAUUGUUUAAUCGUGCUUCUUUACAAUCCCCAACUGAAUUAGAUUCUGUCUACCUUUAGUUCAGUAUUUUGUGGUGCCUCUUAAAAGCUUCCACUUUUUCAUAAGUAGCUUGCUUUUUGUCUACCCUUUUUGUGAGAGGUCUUGUGUUCAGGUACAUUUUAUGCAACUUGUAAGUUUGUUUUAGAAAGUUCAGUCCCUUUUCCUUAAUAAACCCUUUUUGUACAACUAUUAUGAGUUCAUUGUAAGUUGUUUUCAAACCAGUCAUAGAUGAGGUUUGUGAUCAUUUGUUUUUAAGGUUAAGAAUGCUAGCAGUGAAAAUUUCAUAUAAUACAAAAUAAUUUGUAUGAAGAGUGGAACAUCCAUUUGGUGUUUGUGUCCACUAAUGUCUGCUUUGGCACACGCUUCCUUACAAAUAUUAUACUUAUAAAUAUUAUACGUAUAUACAUGUUUCAUAUACAGUUCAUGAAUAUGGCUACACAAGUCUGGGGAAAAAUGAGAAUGUGAAUUAAGGCUGAAGAAUGCAUUGUACUAAUAAACAAUUGUAUUGCCAUAACAUGA